rnacentral:rRNA from 1 species
CCAACAGGGAUUGCCUUAGUAACGGCGAGUGAAGCGGCAAAAGCUCAAAUUUGAAAUCUGGCGCCUCUGGUGUCCGAGUUGUACUUUGGAGAGGCAUCUUCCGGAGGGGCCCAGCCUAUGUGCCUUGGAACAGGACGUCAUAGAGGGUGAGAAUCCCGUCCUUGGCUGGAUGUUCCCUCCUGUAUGUAGUGUCUUCUACGAGUCGAGUUGUUUGGGAAUGCAGCUCAAAAUGGGUGGUAAAUUUCAUCUAAAGCUAAAUAUUGGCGAGAGACCGAUAGCGCACAAGUAGAGUGAUCGAAAGAUGAAAAGCACUUUGAAAAUAGAGUCAAACAGUACGUGAAAUUGUUGAAAGGGAAGCGCUUGAGAUCAGAGUCAGCCUUUGGCAAACAACUAUCCUUCUGAAUGGUGCACUUGUCAUUGGUUGGGCCAGCAUCGGUUGGGACGGCAGGAUAAAGGCCCAGGGAAUGUGACUCCUUUAUGGAGUGUUAUAGCCCCAGGCGGCAU